rnacentral:rRNA from 1 species
GACGAACGCUGGCGGCGUGCUUAACACAUGCAAGUCGAACGGUGAACCUCUUCGGAGGGGAUCAGUGGCGAACGGGUGAGUAACACGUGGGCAACCUGCCCCCGGCUCUGGGAUAACUCCAAGAAAUUGGGGCUAAUACCGGAUGUUCACCGCUUCCCGCAUGGGUGGUGGUGGAAAGGGUUUCCGGCUGGGGAUGGGCCCGCGGCCUAUCAGCUUGUUGGUGGGGUAGUGGCCUACCAAGGCGACGACGGGUAGCCGGCCUGAGAGGGUGACCGGCCACACUGGGACUGAGACACGGCCCAGACUCCUACGGGAGGCAGCAGUGGGGAAUAUUGCGCAAUGGGCGGAAGCGUGACGCAGCGACGCCGCGUGGGGGAUGACGGCCUUCGGGUUGUAAACCUCUUUCAGCAGGGACGAAGCGCAAGUGACGGUACCUGCAGAAGAAGCACCGGCCAACUACGUG